AGUGAACGCUGGCGGCGUGCUUAACACAUGCAAGUCGAACGAGAACGGAUUAUAGCUUGCUAUAAUUGUCAGCUAAGUGGCGCACGGGUGAGUAAUGUAUAGGUAAUAUGCCUCUUACUAAGGGAUAACAAAUGGAAACGUUUGCUAAUACCUUAUACUCCUUAUUAACAUAAGUUAAUAAGGGAAAGAUUUAUUGGUAAGAGAUUAGCCUGUAUUGUAUCAGUUAGUUGGUGGGGUAAUGGCUUAACAAGACGCUGACACAUAAGUGGUUUGAGAGGAUGAUCAGUCACACUGGAGCUGAGACACGGUCGAGACUCCUACGGGAGGCAGCAGUGGGGAAUAUUGCACAAUGGACGAAAGUCUGAUGCAGCAACGACGCGUGGAGGAUGACACAUUGCGGUGCGUAAAAUCCUUUUAUAUGAGAAGAUAAUGACGGUAUUAUAUGAAUAAGCACCGGCUAACUCCGUGCCAGCCGCCGCUGUAA
rnacentral:rRNA from 1 species